AGUGAACGUUGGCGGCGUGGAUUAGGCAUGCAAGUCGAGCGAUCGUAGCAAUACGGGAGCGGCAAACGGGGUAGGAAUACAUCGGAACGUACCUUUUGGUUGAGAAUAGCGUUGGGAAACUGACGGUAAUACUCAAUAAAGUCGAGAGACCAAAGGUUUACUGCCGGAAGAGCGGCCGAUGCGAUAUUAGGUAGUUGGUGGGGUAAUGGCCUACCAAGCCUGAGAUGUCUAGGGGGUGUGAGAGCAUGGCCCCCACCACUGGGACUGAGAUACUGCCCAGACACCUACGGGUGGCAG
rnacentral:rRNA from 1 species